GGCAAGGAUAAGAAACAAGGAUGAAGAUAGAGGAUGAAGAAGAAGGUAAAUGAACCAAGGCACUGAACUGUAUUACUUCCUGAAAUUCCCAUAAUACCCUUCGAGAAUAUAUCUCCCAGCAUCCUUUGCAGUGAAGUGUGGACAUGAGACCACCUACACUGAGAAACUGGAAUGAAUUCAUGGCUGUUACUUUUGUACUUCUUAGCUAAUAACAAAUAUUGGUGGGCAGAAGACGGCUCCGUGAGUGAAGGAACCCACCACAGUCUCCUGGUGACCUUAGUUGUCUUCUGACUUCCACAUACCAUAACACCUCUUACCGCAGACAUGCCUUU